rnacentral:rRNA from 1 species
GACGAACGCUGGCGGCGUGCCUAAUACAUGCAAGUAGAACGCUGAAGAGAGGAGCUUGCUCUUCUUGGCUGAGUUGCGAACGGGUGAGUAACGCGUAGGUAACCUGCCUGGUAGCGGGGGAUAACUAUUGGAAACGAUAGCUAAUACCGCAUAAAAUUGAUUAUUGCAUGAUAAUUAAUUGAAAGAUGCAACUGCAUCACUACCAGAUGGACCUGCGUUGUAUUAGCUAGUUGGUGAGGUAAAGGCUCACCAAGGCGACGAUACAUAGCCGACCUGAGAGGGUGAUCGGCCCCACUGGGACUGAGCCACGGCCCAGACUCCUACGGGAGGCAGCAGUAGGGAAUCUUCGGCAAUGGGGGGAACCCUGACCGAGCAACGCCGCGUGAGUGAAGAAGGUUUUCGGAUCGUAAAGCUCUGUUGUAAGAGAAGAACGGGUGUGAGAGUGGAAAGUUCACACUGUGACGGUAUCUUACCAGAAAGGGACGGCUACCUACGU